rnacentral:rRNA from 1 species
AGUGAACGCUGGCGGUAGGCCUAACACAUGCAAGUCGAACGGCAGCACAGUAAGAGCUUGCUCUUACGGGUGGCGGGUGGCGGACGGGUGAGGAAUACAUCGGAAUCUACUUUUUCGUGGGGGAUAACGUAGGGAAACUUACGCUAAUACCGCAUACGACCUACGGGUGAAAGCAGGGGAUCUUCGGACCUUGCGCGAUUGAAUGAGCCGAUGUCGGAUUAGCUAGUUGGCGGGGUAAAGGCCCACCAAGGCGACGAUCCGUAGCUGGUCUGAGAGGAUGAUCAGCCACACUGGAACUGAGACACGGUCCAGACUCCUACGGGAGGCGGCAGUGGGGAAUAUUGGACAAUGGGCGCAAGCCUGAUCCAGCCAUACCGCGUGGGUGAAGAAGGCCUUCGGGUUGUAAAGCCCUUUUGUUGGGAAAGAAAAGCAGCAGGUUAAUACCCCGCUGUUCUGACGGUACCCAAAGAAUAAGCACCGGCUAACUUCGUG